GAUGAACGCUGGCGGCGUGCCUAAUACAUGCAAGUCGAGCGAACAGACGAGGAGCUUGCUCCUCUGACGUUAGCGGCGGACGGGUGAGUAACACGUGGAUUACCUACCUAUAAGACUGGGAUAACUUCGGGAAACCGGAGCUAAUACCGGAUAAUAUAUUGAACCGCAUGGUUCAAUAGUGAAAGACGGUUUUGCUGUCACUUAUAGAUGGAUCCGCGCCGCAUUAGCUAGUUGGUAAGGUAACGGCUUACCAAGGCAACGAUGCGUAGCCGACCUGAGAGGGUGAUCGGCCACACUGGAACUGAGACACGGUCCAGACUCCUACGGGAGGCAGCAGUAGGGAAUCUUCCGCAAUGGGCGAAAGCCUGACGGGGCAACGCCGCGUGAGUGAUGAAGGUCUUCGGAUCGUAAAACUCUGUUAUUAGGGAAGAACAAAUGUGUAAGUAACUAUGCACGUCUUGACGGUACCUAAUCAGAAAGCCACGGCUAACUACGUG
rnacentral:rRNA from 1 species